CGUGUAGGCGGCCAUGCAGGUCCGCUGUGAAAACUCGAGGCUCAACCUCGAGCUGUCGGUGGAAACCGUGUGGCUAGAGUCCGGAAGAGGAGAGUGGAAUUCCCGGUGUAGCGGUGAAAUGCGCAGAUAUCGGGAAGAACACCCGUGACGAAGGCGGCUCUCUGGGACGGUACUGACGCUGAGACGCGAAAGCGUGGGGAGCGAACA
rnacentral:rRNA from 1 species